UGAGGAAUAUUGCCCAAUGGCCGCAAGUCUGAGGCAGCAACGCCGCGUGGGCGAUGAAGGCCUUCGGGUUGUAAAGCCCUUUUCUGGGGGAAGAGGAAGGACGGUACCUCAGGAAUAAGUCACGGCUAACUACGUGCCAGCAGCCGCGGUAAUACGUAGGUGGCAAGCGUUAUCCGGAUUCACUGGGCGUAAAGCGCGUGCAGGCGGUUUCGUAAGUCGGACGUGAAAGCUCCUGGCUUAACUGGGAGAGGUCGUUCGAUACUGCGGGGCUUGAGGUCGGGAGAGGGACGUGGAAUUCCCGGUGUAGUGGUGGAAUGCGUAGAUAUUACACAGAACACCAAUUGCGUAGGCAGCUUACUGAGCCGACACUGACGCUGAGGCACGAAAGCGUGGGGAUCGAACAG
rnacentral:rRNA from 1 species